GGCCUUAUAGUGGAAAAGAAGAUAUUAAAUUGCAAAUUUAAUGAUGUGUAUAUGUGCACUAAGGCUU
rnacentral:tRNA from 1 species